rnacentral:rRNA from 1 species
CCUACGGGAGGCAGCAGUGGGGAAUCUUGCGCAAUGGGCGAAAGCCUGACGCAGCCAUGCCGCGUGAAUGAUGAAGGUCUUAGGAUUGUAAAAUUCUUUCACCGGGGACGAUAAUGACGGUACCCGGAGAAGAAGCCCCGGCUAACUUCGUGCCAGCAGCCGCGGUAAUACGAAGGGGGCUAGCGUUGCUCGGAAUUACUGGGCGUAAAGGGAGCGUAGGCGGAUAGUUAAGUCAGAGGUGAAAGCCCAGGGCUCAACCUUGGAAUUGCCUUUGAUACUGGCUAUCUUGAGUAUGGGAGAGGUAAGCGGAACUCCGAGUGUAGAGGUGAAAUUCGUAGAUAUUCGGAAGAACACCAGUGGCGAAGGCGGCUUACUGGCCCAUUACUGACGCUGAGGCUCGAAAGCGUGGGGAGCAAACAGGAUUAGAUACCCUGGUAGUCCACGCCGUAAACGAUGAGAGCUAGUUGUCGGCAUGNAUGCAUGUCGGUGACGCGAGCUACGACAUAAGUACUCUCCGUCCGUCGGGUAGGUACGGUCGCGAGAAUUAAACUUAAAUUAAGUAAGUUAGUACGGCGUGAGACGUGCCGAACGGACGACGACGAGGGAGGUAGG